GAGUUGUUACAAAAUUUGUCAAGUUUAAAAAUUUUGAACUGCAGUGAAAGCAUGAGUCAUAAAAUUUGUUAAUAUUUCUACUUGCCAUCUAAAAUAACAAGGGAGAAAUUCGGAGGCGGAAGCUUCUGUUGGCGGUUCAUUACGAUUUACGAGUCCUGGUCCUAUUAGGAUUAUUUUAUUAAUUUUUUAAUCUUUAAUCUAAUCCAAUGUCUCCACGCCGUGUCCGAAGGCUCCCGCGUCCACUCGCACAGCUCCUCUUCGAGCACCCACAUUGGCAUUCGCCUCGGCAACGCACUCUUGAGCAUGCUCCUCCUCAGGUUCGAAGGUGACCCUCCUUUAUCGCGUGGUCCGUGUUCGACGAAAUGGUCGAGAGAGACGUCUUCCCUUGGAACGUGAGGGUGGGCCGGUAUGAGAAAAAAUAGCUUUUUGGAUGAGGUCAUUGAUUUGGUGUAUAGUCUUUUUCAUGCGUGCUGAGGUCUUGUAACGGUAUCCCGGAUUUGAUGAAGAGGAGAAGGGUUCAUGCUCAUACGAUUAGAUUCGGUUUCUCGUCGGAAAUGGAUGUUUUAAAUGCUCUGAUCAUAAUGUCCGCGAAUCCAUGCUUGGAACGUGCUCGACGGAAUGCCGAAAAGGGAUUGCAUCAUAUGGAGUUAUCUGCAGUAAAUUGUCUGCAUGUCCAUGCACGGUCAGGUCCGCGCUAUGAGCUCGCACUAAUCGGACGUUUAAUGAAAUAAGCCUUCAAGCCGAUGAGUGGCGCAUAGAAGGGCUUCGCACCAGCCAAUGACCGGGAGCCAACAUCGGUGCGGUUUCCGGCGGUAGACCAUGCCUUCUGCCGCUUACGGCUGCCUCCUUGGCCUUCUCGGGUGCUUCAUAUGGGCUUCCAACAGCAAAAGCAAACAGUGUGAGUGGUAAUGUAUCCUUGCCAGUGAAUCCACUAGGAGGGGAGGAUUGCCUUCAACUCUCAUGUGAACGUUUUUGCUUCAAAUUGAUUCAGUUGGAUGACACUUGACUUGUUCAAAGACAAAAUUCACAUCAUGGAGAUGCCUAGGGGAUCCCUAACAUCACAUUAUGGACUAUCCUAGGAAGGAGGACGUAAUCUUCCCUUCUUGUUGUGGUUGCACACGUGUGCAAACCCAUAUACAAAUGCUAAUUAGGUGUCGCAUGUUGACAUGACAAGUGCACCAUAGGCAUGCCGUUGAGUCUUCACUAGAUCAUAUAUUACAAAAUAUUUCAUAUAAACAAUACAAGUUGCCAAUGGUUUAGGUUAUCAUUCACUUCAAUCCUCUCUAUCCCUACCUUUUCGAUAUGAUAUUAUCUCGCUGAUUUAAGCUUGAUAUAUGGAUAUUAAUCAGUUAAACUUGGUCAUCUGGUAGUUCUGUUUGCUGUACUUUAUUCAAAUUAAGGACAUGCUAGGGUCAAAAUAUUUAGUUGAGCCAUCUUUCUCACCACCACUAGUUGCAACUUUUCCUAGCUUCGAUGGGUAAGUGCUCUCGUGAUUUAGCAUGGUGGACUGCUUUUGAAGUGCAGCUUUCUUACAUCAUCCCCCAAUAGGUUGAUGAGAGGGAAGGAGUGCACGGAUGGGUCGCACUCAAGUUUGUAAGUCAAUUGGCACAGACCAUCUCUUAUAGUCUUCCUCCUGUGGGUAGUGGACCUUGUGGCCAUGGGAAUGGGAUCAAGCGAUGGGUUUAUUUCCACCACUCUUUUUCUUUUCUUUCUUUUUGCAAAUAUUUAUAUUCAUAGAUUAUUCACUCUUUUCAAGAAUUCUGUUUCAUAAAACCUAUACUCUUGCAAAUUUCUAAAUUUUGUUGUUCCUUUCCAUCCAAUAGUCUAGAAUAAUGCCAUUCCUACCACAUUUGGCAGGCAUCUCUAGCUUACUUUUUAACUUAAUUUGAUGCCAACCUUUACACAAGGUCCAAAGAAAUUCCGACCUAGCCUACUUCCUUCCAUCAAAUUUUCUUCUAGAGUGAAAAAGUACAUCUGCACUAGGGGAAAGUGCUUCAUUGCCUCCUGUUAUUGAUAAUAUAAAACUUACUGUGAUCUAAUCAUUAUUUUUUUUUCUACUACGUGACUGUGACUGACCAUGAGGUAUGAAUUGGAUGACAGUUACAAGCAUAUUCUGUCUGGCAAUUGUCACACUAUGUUUUGACAACAAUGGCUUAGGUUUCUUUGACAAUGUUCAUAGCUUAUUUGGAAAUUGUGUUUUUGCCACUUUUCUGGAUUGGAACAAAAGAGAGGACUAAGGAAGGCAAGGGCAAGAGGUGACAAAGAACCACUUGCUUCACAUGCUUAAGGGUCCCAAGACAACGCAGCUUUUACAGAGCUUGUAGCGCUUUUGAUUGCCAAGCCAGAUGAUUGUCCCUACUAACACCAGCUGAUGCUUUUAGUUGUUUGAUGAGACGAUAGAUCGAAUUCAUUCAAGAAAGUGGGAAGACAACGAGAGCUCUGGAUCGACCGUUGCAAGGAAAUCACUGGAACAUUGCAGUGGAGUAAAACAAAAUGGAGUAAGAAUGGCGUCUUUGAUAUCUUGUUCACAACUCAUGACGGUUAAUGUGAUAGCUAGAGGUGAGUGGCAAAACAAAAUAUACUGAGCUGACAUGAUGGUUGCAAUCAGACUUAUUCAUAAUGGUUCUGGCUUAUCCAACACCCAUGACUGGGUUUGUAGAGCUAAAAUCAUGCUUAGAGUCCAAUAAAGUGUAGUUUGAGAUGAAAUUAUGGACGAAUUUAGGACUGGACAAGGUUCUGUUUGGAGAAGAUGACAAGAAAAUUAGUCCCUGUACUAAAUCGGAUACCCUAAUACUUUCUAUUGUACAUUCUGGUUUUCUGCA